CCAUUUAAGCAUGUACUACCUGAUUUUGAUCUCAUGACAUUCACUUAGGUUCACUUUUCACCACUACAGCGCCCAAAGGAUCCUUGAUAUUCAGAUUUACUUUUGACAUUGUGUGAUUGUUUAUGGAUGUGAUUACUAGAAUUAUACGAAUCAAAACUCUGUAUUACAAUAUAGCACUUCAAAAGUAAUCCUUUACAAAAUUAUCAUAUUUUUCAUUUGAGGAAUGACUUCUAAGGCAUUGAGGUUUGAAUGAUCUCUUAAGUUCUUCCACUCCCUUGAUUACUAAUUGAAAUUGGAUGCUGGAUUGGAUGCAUUGGGUGAGUUGGUACAUUCUCGAUUCUCAACAAAUACUUUCCCCAGCUGGGACCUUAUUAGCCACAAUGGAGAAAUCAAUACCCUUAGAGGAAAUGUUAACUGGAUGAAGGCACGUGAGGGACUACUUAAGUGUACUAACUUGGUUUAUCAAAAAAUGAGUUAAAGAAGCUGUUACCAAUUGUGGAUGCCAGUUCAUCCGAUUCUGGUAAAUUAGAGCACUUUCUGUUGCAUGCACAUAAUUUAUUGAAAUUAUAUUGAUGAGAACUAGUAUGUGACCCUUAUCGAAAUAGAAGGAAU